rnacentral:rRNA from 1 species
UGGGGAAUCUUGCGCAAUGGGCGAAAGCCUGACGCAGCCAUGCCGCGUGAGUGAUGAAGGCCUUAGGGUUGUAAAGCUCUUUCACCGGGGGACGAUAAUGACGGUACCCGGAGAAGAAGCCCCGGCUAACUUCGUGCCAGCAGCCGCGGUAAUACGAAGGGGGCUAGCGUUGCUCGGAAUUACUGGGCGUAAAGGGCGCGUAGGCGGAUCAGCAAGUUGGGGGUGAAAGCCCGGGGCUCAACCUCGGAAUUGCCUUCAAAACUGCUGAUCUAGAGUACGGGAGAGGUGUGUGGAACUCCGAGUGUGGAGGUGAAAUUCGUAGAUAUUCGGAAGAACACCAGAGGCGAAGGCGACACACUGGCCCGUUACUGACGCUGAGGCGCGAAAGCGUGGGGAGCAAACAGGAUUGAUACCCUGGUAGUCACGCUGUAAACGAUGAUUGCUAGUUGUCGGCAGGCAUGCCUGUCGGUGACGCAGCUAACGCAUUAAGCAAUCGCCUGGGAGUACGGUCGCAAGAUUAAAACUU